rnacentral:rRNA from 1 species
UACAGAGGGUGCGAGCGUUAAUCGGAAUUACUGGGCGUAAAGCGCACGUAGUCGGCUUUGCAAGUCGGGUGUGAAAUCCCCGGGCUCAACCUGGGAACUGCAUCCGAGACUGCAUUGCUAGAGUAUGGGAGAGGGAAGCGGAAUUUCUGGUGUAGCAGUGAAAUGCGUAGAUAUUGGGAGGAACACCAGUGGCGAAGGCGGUCCCCGUGGGCCGGAACUGACGCUGAGGCGGCGAAAAGCGUGGGUAGCAAACGGG